CGCCAUCCGGCAAUCGGGUCGGAUGAAGGACCAAUCGGGGUCAACAGA
rnacentral:ncRNA from 12 species